GGAGGGUACAGCUCAGUGGUAGAGCACGUGCUUAGUACGCACAAGGUCUUGGGUUCAAUCCCCAGCACCUCCA
rnacentral:tRNA from 1 species